rnacentral:rRNA from 1 species
CAUGGUCUAGCUAGUCUAAUUAAGCAAAAUGAAUUUUAGUUUAACUUCCCGAAACUAGGUGAGCUACUUCGAAAUAGCCAAGAGCAAACCCGUCUCUGUUGCAAAAGAGUGGGAAGAUUUCCAAGUAGAGGCGAUAAACCUACCGCACCUAGAAAUAGCUGGUUACUUAAGAAAAGAAUUUUAGUUCUACCUUAAGUUUUUAAACUUAAGAGCUAUUCAAAUAAGGCACAGCUUAUUUGAAAAAGGACACAACCUAUUAUAUUGGGUAACCAUAAGUGGGCCUGAAAGCAGCCAUCUUUAAAAAGCGUUAAAGCUUAAUAACCUUAUUAUUAUAUAACCCAUUAUCAAUAUUAAGUAAUUCCAUAAUAUAUGGAAGAUAUAAUGCUAGAACUAGUAACAAGAAACUUCUCCAAAAUGUAAGCUUAAGCCAUUUUAGACACCCUACUGGCAAUUAACGUUUAUGAGUCUACUUUAUUAACAAGAAAACCUUAAAUACACUACGUUAAACUUACACCAGAACAUUUAUGGAAAGAUCAAAAGAAAAAGAAGGAACUCGGCAAACAUUAACCCCGCCUG